rnacentral:rRNA from 1 species
GCCAGCAGUCAUAUCACCCUGCAACUCACAACUAGCAGCCCACUGAAGCUCAGCAGGUGUGAGCCUGCAGGUGUGAGCCUGGUCUGUACCUGGAUGGGAGACCUCCUGGGAAAAACUACGGUUGCUGCUGGAA